AUUAAUCCUAACAUGGUACCUGGUACCCGCCACACUAAAGCAUCUCUAUCCUCAAACACCACACACAUGUUGGAGAUGUCAACAGUCUAGGGGAAACAUUCAACAUUUUGAACAUGACCAAAGCUACAACCAUGCUGGAGGGAAGUGAUCCAUCUAAUUCAAAUGACCACACACAUAAAACACCCAGCAUAUUCUGAGGUGGUCCUACU